CCGACGCCUCUUUCCUCCGCUCCUCUCCUCUCCUCUCCUCUCUCUCCUUAUCUUCUCCCUCUUCCUCUCCCUCGCUCACUACCAAUCAAUGGCGGCAGGGACGGCCUUCAAGCCCAUAUCCAUGGCCGAAGGCCUUCUUCCCUACCUCCCGGCCGCCUUCUUCUCUUCCAAACCCUCUCUCGCCCACCUCCCAUUGCUCCGCUCCUCCAGGCCCUUACCGUUCCUCCACCUCUCCUGCUCGCGCUCAUCUUCAUCGAUCUCCCUUAGAAGGAAGCUCCCUUUGCUCCCCCUUGUGGCCCAGACUUCCGACUGGGCUAGCCAGGAGGAGGAGGAGCAGGAGGCGAGCGAGGUCGAGGACCGCGGUUUUGGCUUGGAAGGGUUCGACGAGGGGGAUGAACCUGGGCUCUCGGAGUUGGAAGGAGAGGAGGUGCAGGCGGAGGACAGUGGGGUGGUCGCCCAGGGGGAGGGCGAGUUUGUCGAGGGAGAAGAGGAGGAGGAGGAGGA
rnacentral:lncRNA from 1 species